rnacentral:tRNA from 1 species
GUUUCUGUAGCUUAAUUAAAGCAUAACUCUGAAGAUGUUAAGACAGGCCCCAAUAAAGCCUCAGAGACA